GAUGAACGCUGGCGGCGUGCCUAAUACAUGCAAGUCGAGCGAACAGGCGAGGAGCUUGCUCCUCUGACGUUAGCGGCGGACGGGUGAGUAACACGUGGAUAACCUACCUAUAAGACUGGGAUAACUUCGGGAAACCGGAGCUAAUACCGGAUAAUAUAUUGAACCGCAUGGUUCAAUAGUGAAAGACGGUUUUGCUGUCACUUAUAGAUGGAUCCGCGCCGCAUUAGCUAGUUGGUAAGGUAACGGCUUACCAAGGCAACGAUGCGUAGCCGACCUGAGAGGGUGAUCGGCCACACUGGAACUGAGACACGGUCCAGACUCCUACGGGAGGUAGCAGUAGGGAAUCUUCCGCAAUGGGCGAAAGCCUGACGGAGCAACGCCGCGUGAGUGAUGAAGGUCUUCGGAUCGUAAAACUCUGUUAUUAGGGAAGAACAAAUGUGUAAGUAACUAUGCACGUCUUGACGGUACCUAAUCAGAAAGCCACGGCUAACUACGG
rnacentral:rRNA from 1 species